UUGACCUCUGACCCGCCGACCACGCUUGAUCCCCGGCCGCGGGGCCAGGAAGUCGGAGUUUGAGCCCCGGAGGCAGAGCGGCUGCCAUGUCAUUGGCCUUGGCAGAAAAGUAAACAAGUGAUUGCAAGGCUGUACGAUGGCAGCAGAGGGACCGAAGGCUGUUGGUGUGAGGGGUAGUCUGAGACCUGAGCCGUGUUUCAAGCCGAGGGGACCCUCUGACUUUCACCUCUGUCCUUCAGACAGCACCAGCAUCCCAUCCCUGAGCCUCCUGUUCCACUCGGGAGGGGCUUUAGGAAGGAGGCGAAGUCAGGUGAGACCGCAGGUGUCAUCAGGUGCAUCCCUGACCCUCCCUCAUCUGCAGUACAGCCACAGCCCUGCCCCUCGCUGUGAUCACAGGAGGGUCUUCUCUGGGCUCUUUCUGCUGUGAAAUCCAGAAGUUAUGAAGUUUCCACCUACUUUUGAAAUCUUAACCCACUUGUUUGUUCAUUCCCCUAAUGGCCCAUAAUGACAUCCCACCUGUUAAGGAAAGAGCAGGUCCUCGGAGGCUGAACAAGGCCAGCUCUGGAGUCGAAUCCACUGGAAUCUGGAGCAAGCCCCUCUGGCCUCGGGGUUGGGUUCUUGAUACUUGUCGGCUUGCCCAGGUGCCCUACCUUCAGACCCCGGGACCCUGCGUAGUGACUGCUGUGACAGAUAGCACCAGCCUUGGGUUUCCGAUCUGCCUCCGAGGCACCUGCUGUUACGUCCUCGGGCCAGUCAGCAGUCCCCCACCCCUGAGUUGUCAGAAUUAAACGGCACAAUGAAUUGAA
rnacentral:lncRNA from 1 species